AUUCCAUUCCUUUUUAUGUUUAACCAACACAUAAGUUCACCAUUCCUCAAAUUGAUAAUUGCAUGUGGAGUUUAAUGGAAUUGAAAGACUCUGAGUACUUAUCAGAAGCCAUGGAUGUGGGUAGAGGAGCAGCUGUGAAGGAUUGUGGUGAUUGUUGAAGAAACAAAAGAAAUUGGAAUAAUCUAGUGAAACCCGUAUUCAUGGACAGGGCUCCACUAAAAAGGUGAUUUUUCCCUCUCUGUAAAUCUGUUUCGUAUGGGGUUUGUUUCUACGGUUAGCUAACGAAAUUUCGGUCGUUUCGACACCAAUUUCAUAAAUUUUGGAGCAGUAUUGAGUUCAGGAGACGCAUCUGAAGUUCGGGGUCUGAUGCAGAAUUUUGGGCUACGGGUUUGAAGUGUUGUGGCUGCAAUUUCUGUUUUUCAGCAAACUCCGAAUAUGUCAAUGGUACUGUUAAAGCGUCAAAUUCAGGAGGGUUCCUUUAGAAGCUUAACUUUUAGAUUAGUUAGCACCUUUAGUUUCCCCAAAUUCAAUAUAUGUAUGAUGACAUUAGUAUUAGUUAGGUGUAACACCCCCGUUUUUCAAAGCAUAAAAAGAGAUAUUAUUAUUAUUUUUUUUUUAAAUCAACACGCUUAAAUAAAAUGGCGCGCGUGAACGCCCGCAGCUAUCUCGACAAUUCGUCAUUCAAUAGAAAAUAAAUAUAACAUCAACACAUUAUAUUACAGGGAUUCCUCGAAGCAAAGUGUGUACCUGAAUAAUUUACAUACAACGGAUAUAGCAAGUUCAUCAACCAAAAAGACACGAGUCAUGAACCGAUUAUAUCACAAGGCCCAACGGCACUAACAUGUCUGAGUAUAAUGUAUAAAACAUACAGUCAUCCCAA
rnacentral:lncRNA from 1 species